rnacentral:rRNA from 1 species
CAGUCGCCGCGGUAAUACGAAGGGGGCUAGCGUUGUUCGGAAUUACUGGGCGUAAAGGGCGCGUAGGCGGCCAUUCAAGUUAGAUGUGAAAGCCCUGGGCUCAACCUAGGAAUUGCAUUUGAUACUGUUUGGCUUGAGUUCGGGAGAGGUGAGUGGAAUUCCCAGUGUAGAGGUAAAAUUCGUAGAUAUUGGGAAGAACACCAGUGGGGAAGGCGACUCUCUGGUCUGUAACUGACGCUGAGGAGCGAAAGCGUGGGGAGCGAACAGGAUUAGAGACCCCGGUAGUCCCUGUCUCUUAUAC